rnacentral:rRNA from 1 species
ACGGCUCAGUAACACGUGGAUAACCUGCCCUUGGGUCCGGCAUAACCCCGGGAAACUGGGGAUAAUUCCGGAUAACGCACAUAUGCUGGAAUGCUUUAUGGGUAAAAUGGAUUCGUCUGCCCAAGGAUGGGUCUGCGGCCUAUCAGGUAGUAGUGGGUGUAAUGUACCUACUAGCCAACAACGGGUACGGGUUGUGAGAGCAAGAGCCCGGAGAUGGAUUCUGAGACAUGAAUCCAGGCCCUACGGGGCGCAGCAGGCGCGAAAACUUUACAAUGCGGGAAACCGUGAUAAGGGGACACCGAGUGCCAGCAUCAUAUGCUGGCUGUCCGGGUGUGUAAAAUACACCUGUCAGCAAGGGCCGGGCAAGACCGGUGCCAGCCGCCGCGGUAACACCGGCGGCCCGAGUGGUGAUCGUGAUUAUUGGGUCUAAAGGGUCCGUAGCCGGUUUGGUCAGUCCUCCGGGAAAUCUGACGGCUCAACCGUUAGGCUUUCGGGGGAUACUGCCAGGCUUGGAACCGGGAGAGGUAAGAGGUACUACAGGGGUAGGAGUGAAAUCUUGUAAUCCCUGUGGGACCACCUGUGGCGAAGGCGUCUUACCAGAACGGGUUCGACGGUGAGGGACGAAAGCUGGGGGCACGAACCGGAUUAGAUACCCGGGUAGUCCCAGCCGUAAACGAUGCUCGCUAGGUGUCAGGCAUGGCGCGACCGUGUCUGGUGCCGCAGGGAAGCCGUGAAGCGAGCCACCUGGGAAGUACGGCCGCAAGGCUGAAACUUAAAGGAAUUGGCGGGGGAGCAC